UGGGGAAUUUUGGACAAUGGGCGCAAGCCUGAUCCAGCCAUGCCGCGUGCGGGAAGAAGGCCUUCGGGUUGUAAACCGCUUUUGUCAGGGAAGAAAUCUUCUGAGUUAAUACCUCGGGAGGAUGACGGUACCUGAAGAAUAAGCACCGGCUAACUACGUGCCAGCAGCCGCGGUAAUACGUAGGGUGCAAGCGUUAAUCGGAAUUACUGGGCGUAAAGCGUGCGCAGGCGGUUUUGUAAGACAGAGGUGAAAUCCCCGGGCUCAACCUGGGAACUGCCUUUGUGACUGCAAGGCUUGAGUGCGGCAGAGGGGGGAUGGAAUUCCGCGUGUAGCAGUGAAAAUUGCGUAGAUAUGCGGAGGAACACCGAUGGCGAAGGCAAUCCCCUGGGCCUGCA
rnacentral:rRNA from 1 species